rnacentral:misc_RNA from 1 species
UACGUAGGGUGCAAGCGUUAAUCGGAAUUACUGGGUGUAAAGCGUGCGCAGGCGGUGCUGUAAGACAGGCGUGAAAUCCCCGGGCUGAACCUGGGAAUGGCGCUUGUGACUGCAGCUCUGGAGUGCGGCAGAGGGGGAUGGAAUUCCGCGUGUAGCAGUGAAAUGCGUAGAUAUGCGGAGGAACACCGAUGGCGAAGGCAAUCCCCUGGGCCUGCACUGACGCUCAUGCACGAAAGCGUGGGCAGCAAACAGG